AGUCCAUCAUUGAGGGAAGUCAAGUCAAGAACCUUAAGUUCCAUACAGCAUGAUCUGGCAUGAGUUUUGGAGCAUGGCCCUGGAUCUCCAAGAGAAUGUAUUGAAUGUAACAGAUUUGUUAAGCAGAACCAUUGUUUCCAGGCCUCUAUCAUUGAAGGAGGAGAAGCAGCAAUCCAGGAGCAUUCCAAGUUUUAUGCACUGGAUAGCAAUUGCUGAGGUACCCACACAACAUAAUAGGUUGAGCAACUGCGUAGUUAGCCUCUCAGGAAUUCUGUUCCUUUAGAGAUCCCUGACCAAUCCAGCACCUGAGAAAUAACAAUUGAGAAGUAACAGGAUGCUGCUGCCUGCUGAGACACCUUUGAGACAAUCCACAUUGAGUGGCAACUUCGGACUGGAUCCAGGCACCUGGAUGGAC